GUGUAAAACAGGAGGGGGUUGAGGGGUCUGGUGCAGUAGAAGAGGACCUGCCAAGGCUGCAUAAGGCCUUGACUUUCACCUCUAGAAUGGAGAAGAAGGGAAGCCAGAGAUGGGCAUUGUCCUGACCGCAGGAGGCCCACAGCAGAUCAGAUCUACCCGUCAGCUGGCAAGCAGCACGAGCACCAGCACGUCGUAUUGUCCCGAGGACAAUCCAAACAGGGGCCCAAGGCCAUCAGAUGUCUGAGGAGGAGUGGUGGAGACUUGGUGUCCAGGAGUCCAGGCUGGGUUCGGGACACGCUCAUGAGCCUGAGCGCCUGCUCUUCCCUGUAGAUGACCUCUGCUGAGAGAUCCUCUAACAUGGCGUAUGUCGGGGGUCAUUGGAGAAACUGUCUCCAAAUCUAACGUCUACGUGUACCUGCCCUGGCAAUCGGGAAACCCUUGAAAAAUGUACAAGUCGUUCAUCCCUGCCUGAGAUGUGUGCCGAAGCCACGGAGCUGCAAGCAGCGAUUGCAAGGUGCGUUACAUCGUGAAGGACGCCAGGCCUCCGCAGCAACUUUCCCAGCGAGCAAGGAAGGGGCCGCGGGGCCGGGGUCUGGAACUCAGAAGCUUGAGCGAUCCUCCUGAGUCAGCCUUCCAAGCUGCUGGGACAGCAGAGACGUGAACUUCCACACCCAGCUCCAUUACAUCUUCAUUGUUAUUCUCCUCCCCCCCUUCCUUUCUGUUAACAAAUACAUGUUGAGCAACUACUAAGUGUCAUGUACUGGCCGGUACCAGUGACAUUUCAGGGAACAAACCAAAUACGUAUUUAUGUCUUCAUCUGUUACAUCUGGCUUUUAAAGGCAGCAGCAGGACAGUCGCCUUGCCAAAUAUUUUCUCUUCCCUGCCUUCCCUAUCAAGGUAAAUCUUUGCACUUAAAAAUAAGCUCAAAUAGCAAAGAGCACCAAAUUAUUAUCACCA
rnacentral:lncRNA from 1 species